rnacentral:rRNA from 1 species
AGCAGCCGCGGUAAUUCCAGCUCCAAUAGCGUAUAUUUAAGUUGUUGCAGUUAAAAAGCUCGUAGUUGAAUUUCGGGAUUAGUACGUUGGUCGUGCCUUAGGUACGUACUGGUGUUACUGGCUCCUACCUUCUGACGAACCAUCAUGUCAUUAAUUUGGUGUGGCGGGGAAUCAGGACUGUUACUUUGAAAAAUUAGAGUGUUUAAAGCAGGCUCGCGCUUGAAUACGUUAGCAUGGAAUAAUGAAAUAGGACGUUGACCCUAUUUUGUUGGUUUCUAGGGUUGACGUAAUGAUUAAUAGGGAUAGUUGGGGGCAUUAGUAUUCAAUUGUCAGAGGUGAAAUUCUUGGAUUUAUUGAAGGCUAACUACUGCGAAAGCAUUUGCCAAGGAUGUUUUCAUUAAUCAAGAACGAAAGUUAGGGGAUCGAAGACGAUCAGAUACCGUCGUAGUCUUAACCAUAAACUAUGCCGACUAGGGAUCGGAUGAUGUUAUUUUUAAUGACUCAUUCGGCGCCUUACGGG